rnacentral:rRNA from 1 species
AAUGAACGCUAGCGGCAGGCCUAAUACAUGCAAGUCGAGGGGUAGAAGAGGCUUGCUUCUUUGAGACCGGCGCACGGGUGCGUAACGCGUAUGCAACCUACCUUCAUCUGGGGGAUAACCCGGAGAAAUCCGGAUUAAUACCGCAUAAAAUCACAGGAUGGCAUUAUCCAAUGAUCAAACAUUUAAGGGAUGGAGAUGGGCAUGCGUGUCAUAGCUAGUUGGCGGGGUAACGGCCCACCAAGGCGACGAUGACUAGGGGAUCUGAGAGGAUGGCCCCCCACACUGGUACUGAGACACGGACCAGACUCCUACGGGAGGCAGCAGUAAGGAAUAUUGGUCAAUGGAGGCAACUCUGAACCAGCCAUGCCGCGUGCAGGAAGACUGCCCUAUGGGUUGUAAACUGCUUUUAUUCGGGAAUAAACCUUAUUACGUGUAAUAAGCUGAAUGUACCGAAGGAAUAAGGAUCGGCUAACUCCGUGCCAGCAGCCGCGGUAAGAC